rnacentral:rRNA from 1 species
UACGAAGGUGGCAAGCGUUGUUCGGAUUUACUGGGCGUAAAGGGAGCGUAGGUGGUUAGGUAAGCCCUCCGGGAAAUCUUCAGGCUUAACCUGAAAAGGUCGGGGGGGACUGCCUGGCUAGAGGACGGGAGAGGAGCGCGGAAUUCCUGGUGUAGCGGUGAAAUUCGUAGAUAUUGGCUAGAACACCAGUGGCGAAGGCGGCGACCUGGGAAGAUACUGACGCUGAGAUGCGAAAGCGUGGGGAGCAAACAGG